UGUUGCAAUAUCAUAAUUUCUUUACUAAUAAAAAUGUUUUCCCAUUUCAUAUAAGUAAUGGCAAUUAAGCCCACGUAAAGGCGCAGAAUUAAAGGCACUUCAUAGCCUGUAGGAUAGGAUAGUCUUUGGGUAGCCCUUGCCUCCUUGGAGAGCUAAGAAAAUGGUUGAUUGGUGUUGAACUGAGCCUCAGAAAAUCAUGUGCAGAGAGAAGAACCACAUGGUUCUGCAAAAAAAAGGAAAGGCAUUGUGAUUUCAAGGGGAUGUUAAAAGGCUUAUAGGUGCCUAAUAAAAAGAAAAGGAGCAGCCGUGGCAGUGAUACCGUGGUGAGCAUUUAGGUGAUGCCAGUUAAACGGCCGUACAAAAUACACUACAAAAGACCCACAGCCGAGAAAUGCUAUAUGACCAACGGAAUAAAAAUUCUUUCCCUUAUAUGUAUUGGCAGCGGGAAAAAAAGCUCGUUAUGGAGAAUUCUUGUUGCUGGCAUUAGACUGAGGCUAAUCAAAAGUUGCACUACGGGAGAAGGCGCUCUUGUCCGCCAAAUACGUGCGACAUCUAUGGGAGAAGCGUGCAACCCCUUUAAAGUUCCACUGGCACGUCAUUCAUUGUCGCCUGGCGUAAACUGAGGAAGGUGGUCAAAAUGGACGUCUCCCUCAUUGAAAGUUAUCUGGGAUUUUGGGUUCCUUGAGGCCUCCUGGAUGUACCGGAUACCUGAAAUGCUGUGUUGGCCAUGUGAUCACCCUAUACCGAAAGCAACUUUUGUUGUUUCUAUGCCGUAGUGUGAAUAAAUAUUUCCACUACGAAUCUUGCAUUUGGUGAACAGUUAAUUCCUUAGCGAGAAAAAAAGGAGAAGUUCGAGAUGGAUUUGGCUACAUUUCUUCACCAUGGUAGAAUGUGAAGUAAUUGGUUGCUGAAAAAAGAUUUCAUUUUUUCUGUGUUCAGUAAAAUGUGUUUGAGAUGGCAAAAAAAAAGAAACUAUGGAAAUUUGCAUUGUAAAGACUUCGUUUUUUUUGUGAGCAAA